CCCUUAGACGUUCUGGGCCGCACGCGCGCUACACUGACGGAGCCAGCGAGUAUAAACCUUGGCCGAGAGGUCUGGGAAAUCUUGUGAAACUCCGUCGUGCUGGGGAUAGAGCAUUGUAAUUAUUGCUCUUCAACGAGGAAUUCCUAGUAAGCGCAAGUCAUCAGCUUGCGUUGAUUACGUCCCUGCCCUUUGUACACACCGCCCGUCGCUACUACCGAUUGAAUGGCUUAGUGAGGCUCCCGGAUUGGUUUAGAGAAGGGGGCAACUCCAUCUUAGAACCGAGAAGCUAGUCAAACUUGGUCAUUUAGAGGAAGUAAAAGUCGUAACA
rnacentral:rRNA from 1 species